GAUCCCGCCCUCCUGCCUGCCUGUUACUUCCCUGUGAUCCCGCCCUCCUGCCUGGAUUUCAGUAGUGUGACUUCCCUGUGAUCCCGCCCUCCUGCCUGCCUGUUACUUCCCUGUGAUCCCGCCCUCCUGCCUGGAUUUCAGUAGUGUGACUUCCCUGUGAUCCCGCCCUCCUGCCUGCCUGUUACUUCCCUGUGAUCCCGCCCUCCUGCCUGGAUUUCAGUUUCGAGUCUCGAGUUCAUUCAGUCCUGGAGUUUCUAGAAGGUAAACGGUGUGGACCGGCGACCUGACGUAGUUGACCACCAUGGAGAGCCACGAUACGGAGCCAGAAGCCAUGGACACGGAGGAGUCAAAUAAUCAUAAUUUGGAUACGAAUGAGAACAACAUGCAGUUUAUAAAAAAAGUGGAGCGGAAUAGAGAAAAACAGAGGGAAAACUUUGUGACAAGUGGAAACCUCUUCAUUAUUGUCUUCAUGAAUCUGCUCAAGGGCGCAAAGUUUCGUAAGGAAGUCGUUCGUCAUUACAUGGAACGGGUACUACAUUCCAUCUUCUUUUUUGGACAUAUUCAUUGCCCACCAAUCGCACCAGAGGAAUUCCUUCCCGAAACAUUGACUGAAAGAUAUAAAGAAGCUUUCCCAAAGCCUUUCAAGCAGUACAACACUCAUCUUCCUCGGUAUACCCCAUACUCCAUUCUCCUGGAAUACAUGACUAAAGGAAUGGAAUGGGACGAUCUAGAUUUAUUAUCGAAACACCUGGAGAAUGUUAAUAAAUCUCUGCUGAAGUCUCAUAAGGAGAAAGAAGACGAGUUUAUCGCCAAUGACUUUGCCUUCAACGCGUCUGCGGUCACAUUCUGCUGCGUCAAAGAUUCUAAUAAUGCGAAGGUCCUCAGGAAGGCGUACGGCUCGUCCUUGUCUUGUAAGGGUAAGAUUGAGAGGAAGAUAAUGAUCGCUGUGUCCGCGCUGCACGUGUGGGACCGGGCGGUCUCGUACGCAGUGUGUUGUGCAGGUCAAGGUCAUCCUAUAACCUUCCCUGAACGAGUGGAGUGCAUGACCUAUAGCUUCAUACAAAGAAAGAAAAUCCCUCCAUGUAACAAAUGCUUCAAAAUGUACAAGCUAAAGGCUAUCCCCGAACACGAAGCGCACAAUAAAAUGGAGCACUGGCCGUACGGAAACUGCGCCGAAAACGAGUCUCUCAGCCGGCUGCUACAGUGCGAUGAAGACGUGAGGAGAGAAAUCUGUAUAAUAGACGAGAACGGCCGCAAAGUGAUGAACAGACAGGACAUAGAGAAUAAGUUCAAAGAAGAGUAUGAGGAUGAAAUUAAGAGGACCGCCCGAAAUAACCUCACACCCCGAAAGGUCACACUCCCCCUUGGAGAAUGGAACUUCUUCAGCCCCGAUUAAUCAGGUUGAGCUAUGAUCUCAGGUAUCUUCUUUACCCCGCAACACGCUACUACGGAAAUAUGAAGAUUUAGGCCAGUGUUUCCCAACCAGGGUGCCUCCAGAUUUGCAGUUUUGCAACAGCUGGAGGUUUACAGUUUGGAGGCCACUGUGCUAGGUUAUUAUAAAGAUGCUUUCAUCUGAUGAGUUAAUCUGCUAGGGGAGGACAUAGCUGCUUGUAACCAAAUGCCAUCCAGGCAUGCUGGGAGUUAUAGUUUUGCUAAACCUGGAGGCACCCUGGUUGGGAAACACUGAUUUAGGGUACGUUCACAUGGGCAAAUUACCUGCGGAAUUUUGCUACCAUUAACUUCAAUGGGUCAGCAGAAAAUCCGCAAUAGAGGCAGUUUUGCAGAUUUUCCUUCGGACCCAUUGAAUUCAAUGGUAGCGGAUUAUCUGCUGCGGAAAUUCUGCAGGUAAUCCGCCCGUGUGAACGUACCCUUAGGCUAUGUUCACACGGCAGAAUGUUCACACAGAAUUCCGCAGCCACAGAUUUCAAUGGGAUUCUGCUGCUCCGUUCACACGCCGCGGAAAUCCUGUUUCUGGCAUCAGCAAAAAAAACACUAAGGCUAGGCUCACACUACGGAAUUUCCGCCUGCAAUUCCGCUUCCUAAAAUGUACUGUAUAGUGAAUGGGUUUCCCGUUCCCAAAUUCACACUUCAGGAAUUUGUGAAGCGGAAUUUGGGAUACGGAAAAUCCGCUUGAAAAUUUCCGCCUGAAGAAUGGCGUUGCUCGUUCUUCAGGCGGAAAAACUCGCGGAACACAUUGCAGUCUAUUGGAGACUGCGGUGUCCGCGCGGUCCUCAAUCAGUCGGCGCCGGCCGCACUCGGAAUCUGCAGUGUGAACCCCUAGCCUAAACCUUUUCAAUGUUUUUGCAGAUUCCGCAAGGAAAUGCAUUUCCGUCUAUGAGACGGCAAUGCGUUUCUGAGCGGUCCUAGCGCCGGCAUGUUCUGGCGGUCCUCCGCUGUCUGUGGAAUGACCGCCCAGAAAUUUUCCGUGCAGACAUUCCAACGUGUGAACAAAGCCUUACUGUCACAACAGAUGGUUGGUGCCUACGUUUCAAAACUAUAUAACUUUAUUGUUUUCAAGAUUAUACACACGGUGCUUGAUACAAAUAGGAAAAUGUAUUAUCUGUGUAAUUGAUGCUGGUGGUAAUGGCCUUCUGGGAUAAAAAUGGAAGAAUGCGCUUCCCAGACGUAUGCAAAUGUGUAUGCAACUCGAUAUAUAUAUAUAGUGGAACAGCGACAGGAAUGGUCAUACGGGAUCUCUAGAUUUUCGUAUAUGGAUACCAGGUUUCAGGAAGUGCAUAUCCCAUCCAAAGAAAGCUGGGUGAGAUAUGGGGAGUACAAGAAAUAGUUUCAAUUCCUGGCAUGACUUACCUCGCUAGGGAGUUUUGUUAUCAGUCCUGGAAUUUUAAGGAAUAAAAAGCAGGUUUGGUAGUGGGGCUUUUCAUUUUCAGGUUGGCAUAAAAGGGGUACUCCGCUGCUCAGCGUUUGAAACAAACAGUUUUGAAAGUUGGAUGCGCGCCG